ACAGGGUAAAUGGCAUCUAGAAGCGCGGGGGGAUUUUUCCCGACAAGAGUGGAAGGGGGGUGGCGACCGGCUUCCUGGGGCAAUCAGCUGAAGCACUGGCGAUCGCUGUUCCAGAAUAUUCUCGCUGGUUGACCUUCUGCCCCCAGUGCUCUCUUCUGAUGCUGAGGAAGCCAAGGCCCCCCGAGGAACCCAGGACGCUGCAGGGACCCUGCUCCUCGCUGGUUCUGGCCGGAAGGAGUGGCUGACACAAGCAUCUGGUUGCAGCAAUGAGGUCCUUCGGAGGCUGUGCGACCCUGGUUACCAUGCCACCGGUGCCCGGCCUCUGGUCACCAGCCUAGAUGAAGCGGGCCUGUUUUUGGUCAUUAGCUGCGGCAUUUUCAAGAUACAGAGAAACCACAACUGAGCUCUGCUGCUCUUUAUAGGAGCUAUAUUUAGAUUUCUGGCUUCAUAACAACCCUGGUAUUUCCUAUUUUCUCUCGCUCUUCCAGUUUUGUUUUGUUUUUUUCCUUUUAAAGAGGACGAGUCGACCUAAAAUAUUGAAGAAACAACCCACCAGGGAGGGAAUCGCAUGGUAAGGCAAGCCCAAGGAUCUGGAGCUGGGAAAGGCCCGGGGACAGCCACAUCACUCGGAUUCAGGCUUACAAGACGUUAGCUGUGGCCGAAACAAGGGGCCAGCUCCGGUGAUGAUACUGUUUCCGGAGGUCGUGAUCAGCAGGAAACCGUACAGGCGUCUGUAGGGCUUGCGGUUCAACUGGUACGUGUUUGGGGCGCCUGGAUGGCUCAGUCAGGCCUGGCAUUUUGUCCAGAGGUAGGACGGGACUCACGGAAACACCAGACUCUGAAAGCUCUACGUUCCAGGAGCAGGCAAAUAAGAGACAUUGGCGGAGGGAAAGCCAGAUCGAAUUCUGAUCAAUAAACACUUUUAAAUAGUCCGUAAAGACGGACAGGCCCCUGAAGACUAGUGAGUUCCCAGACUGGACAGACUCAAGCACAGAGGGCGGCCAGGCUGUCAAAGAGACAUGAAUUUUGGGAGUGGUUGGACUAAUUUGAUCUUUAAAGUCCUUCUAGCCCGAGAGGCUAUGAUUAAAGACAUCUAGAGGCUGGCAUCCUUUUGCCUCGCUGUGUGCCUUUCUUUAGCCAAAAGUUAGCGUCUUGGGGUCUGAGCUUUCUUGCUAUACUAGGGAGGGAUUGACUAGGGAGGGAAAACAUCCCAGUGGAUGGUUUAUACGGUUCCUUCCACUUUACCCGUCUCCUGACCAUGUGUCGGGCGGGGCCUAGCAGAAAAACAAGAACCAGGUAAGAACCCUAUUUUUCUUAAGUUUUUUUUAACGAUUAUUUAUUUAUUUAUUUAGAACAAGCGGAA